rnacentral:rRNA from 1 species
GGACAGAAAGACCCUAUGAAGCUUUACUGUAGUUUGGAAUUGGGUUCGGGCUCUUCUUGCGCAGCCUAGGUGGGAGGCUAUGAAGAUAAACUUUUGGGUUUAUUGGAGCCAACAGUGAGAGACCACUCUAGAGGAGCUAGAAUUCUAAUGGCGUUCCUUGAAGCAGGACGCUUGACAGUUUCAGAUGGGCAGUUUGACUGGGGCGGUCACCUCCUAAAAGGUAACGGGGGUGUGCAAAGGUUCCCUCAGGCUGGACGGAAAUCAGCCGUAGAGUGUAAAGGCAGAAGGGAGCUUGACUGCAAGACCUACAAGUCGAGCAGGGGCGAAAGCCGGCCUUAGUGAUCCGACGGUUCCGAGUGGAAGGGCCGUCGCUAAACGGAUAAAAGUUACUCUAGGGAUAACAGGCUGA